CCCAGACCCAGAACACUGACAGCACCAAAUGCUGUCAAGGCUGUGGAACAUCUUUUCAUACUCCUCGAAGUGCUCCUAGGAACAGACAGACAUAGCUACUGAGCUUGCCGGUGAUCGUUGUGGGCUCAGCGAUCUGGAGCCACACUGCAAACAUCACUGACAUGUCAGCACCG